rnacentral:rRNA from 1 species
GCAUAUCAAUAAGCGGAGGAAAAGAAACCAACAGGGAUUGCCCCAGUAACGGCCGAGUGAAGCGGCAACAGCUCAAAUUUGAAAUCUGGCCCUCGGGUCCGAGUUGUAAUUUGUAGAGGAUGCUUUUGGCGAGGUGCCUUCCGAGUUCCCUGGAACGGGACGCCAUAGAGGGUGAGAGCCCCGUCUGGUCGGACACCGAGCCUCUGUAAAGCUCCUUCAACGAGUCGAGUAGUUUGGGAAUGCUGCUCAAAAUGGGAGGUAUAUGUCUUCUAAAGCUAAAUAUUGGCCAGAGACCGAUAGCGCACAAGUAGAGUGAUCGAAAGAUGAAAAGCACUUUGAAAAGAGGGUUAAAAAGUACGUGAAAUUGUUGAAAGGGAAGCGCCUAUGACCAGACUUGCGCCCGGUGAAUCAUCCAGCGUUCUCGCUGGUGCACUUUGCCGGGCACAGGCCAGCAUCAGUUUGGCGCGGGGGAAAAAGGCUUCGGGAAUGUGGCUCCCUCGGGAGUGUUAUAGCCCGCUGCGUAAUACCCUGCGCCGGACUGAGGUACGCGCAUCGCAAGGAUGCUGGCGUAAUGGUCAUCAGCGACCCGUCUUGAAACACGGACCAAGGAGUCGUCUUCGUAUGCGAGUGUUCGGGUGUCAAACCCCUACGCGUAAUGAAAGUGAACGCAGGUGAGAGCUUCGGCGCAUCAUCGACCGAUCCUGAUGUUCUCGGAUGGAUUUGAGUAAGAGCAUACGGGGCCGGACCCGAAAGAAGGUGAACUAUGCCUGUAUAGGGUGAAGCCAGAGGAAACUCUGGUGGAGGCUCGCAGCGGUUCUGACGUGCGAAUCGAUCGUCAAAUAUGGGCAUGGGGGCGAAAGACUAAUCGAACCUUCUAGUAGCUGGUUUCCGCCGAAGUU